rnacentral:rRNA from 1 species
GCUCAGGACGAACGCUGGCGGCGUGCCUAAUACAUGCAAGUCGAGCGGACAGAUGGGAGCUUGCUCCCUGAUGUUAGCGGCGGACGGGUGAGUAACACGUGGGUAACCUGCCUGUAAGACUGGGAUAACUCCGGGAAACCGGGGCUAAUACCGGAUGGUUGUCUGAACCGCAUGGUUCAGACAUAAAAGGUGGCUUCGGCUACCACUUACAGAUGGACCCGCGGCGCAUUAGCUAGUUGGUGAGGUAACGGCUCACCAAGGCGACGAUGCGUAGCCGACCUGAGAGGGUGAUCGGCCACACUGGGACUGAGACACGGCCCAGACUCCUACGGGAGGCAGCAGUAGGGAAUCUUCCGCAAUGGACGAAAGUCUGACGGAGCAACGCCGCGUGAGUGAUGAAGGUUUUCGGAUCGUAAAGCUCUGUUGUUAGGGAAGAACAAGUGCCGUUCAAAUAGGGCGGCACCUUGACGGUACCUAACCAGAAAGCCACGGCUAACUACGUGCCAGCAGCCGCGGUAAUACGUAGGUGGCAAGCGUUGUCCGGAAUUAUUGGGCGUAAAGGGCUCGCAGGCGGUUUCUUAAGUCUGAUGUGAAAGCCCCCGGCUCAACCGGGGAGGGUCAUUGGAAACUGGGGAACUUGAGUGCAGAAGAGGAGAGUGGAAUUCCACGUGUAGCGGUGAAAUGCGUAGAGAUGUGGAGGAACACCAGUGGCGAAGGCGACUCUCUGGUCUGUAACUGACGCUGAGGAGCGAAAGCGUGGGGAGCGAACAGGAUUAGAUACCCUGGUAGUCCACGCCGUAAACGAUGAGUGCUAAGUGUUAGGGGGUUUCCGCCCCUUAGUGCUGCAGCUAACGCAUUAAGC